rnacentral:rRNA from 1 species
CCGGCGACCGGCGCACGGGUGAGUAACACGUAUGCAACCUGGCCGCCACAGGGGGAUAACCCGCGGAAACGCGGCCUAAUACCCCGUGACGCCACCGGAGGGCAUCCUCCGGUGGCCAAAGGAGCGAUCCGGUGGCGGAUGGGCAUGCGGCGCAUUAGCUAGACGGCGGGGUGACGGCCCACCGUGGCGACGAUGCGUAGGGGUUCUGAGAGGAAGGCCCCCCCACACUGGGGACUGAGACACGGCCCAGACUCCUACGGGAGGCAGCAG